rnacentral:rRNA from 1 species
GUGGGGAAUCUUGCGCAAUGGACGAAAGUCUGACGCAGCGACGCCGCGUGGGGGAUGAAGGCUUUCGGGUUGUAAACCCCUGUUGCCCGGGACGAACUUCUGGUUUCGACCAGAUUGACGGUACCGGGUGAGGAAGCACCGGCUAACUCCGUGCCAGCAGCCGCGGUAAUACGGAGGGUGCGAGCGUUGUCCGGAAUCACUGGGCGUAAAGGGCGCGUAGGUGGCGCGACAAGUCAACGGUGAAAGCUCGGCGCUCAACGCCGAGUCGGCCGUCGAUACUGUUGGGCUUGAGCACUGUAGAGGCUAAUGGAAUUCCGGGUGUAGCGGUGGAAUGCGUAGAGAUCCGGAAGAACACCGGUGGCGAAGGCGGUUAGCUGGGCAGUUGCUGACACUGAGGCGCGACAGCGUGGGGAGCAAACAGGAUUAGAUACCCUAGUAGUCC